UCCAAGCAUAGCAGCCGCCACCCUUUCUUCUUCCCUUCAGCAAACCUGCAACCCAAUGAAGGAAAUAGAAACAGAAAAUCAGAGGUGAACUGAGACUGAGUCGCGAGAGAAGGGAGGAGGAGAGGAAGGGGAUUCGCGCCGGCGUGCUGGGCUCCGCCGCCGCCGUCGCGUCGUCGCUGUCACUGAAGCUUCGCGCCGCUGUCCAACCGCCGUGCCUCGCCGACAGUUGCUGCUCAUCCUCAUCGCGAACAGAGGAAACGCGAGACCGAGAGGGAGAGUCGCGCGGAGAGGGACUCGCCGCUCCUUCCCACCGCCGUCGAGCUGCCCUUGAUGACGUGUGUCACCGCAGUUGAGGGUGUCGCCACCACCAAACCCGGGCCGAAGAUGCUUCCACUGAACGCGAGAGGAAGAAGAGCGAUGAGGCAGAGCGCGUCCUCGCCGGAGCUCUUGAGCGCCGCCGUCGUUCGUGCCUCCUCCCGCCGCCAAAUCUGCUCCCACUUCUGGGUUCUGGAAUCUGACCCGGACGCCGCUGCCACCAUCCGAGCUCGCCGCUGCUGAUGAUGGUAAGCCCAAACCGCCGCCGGAAAAAGGUUCUGGCCGCCGCAGGAGUCACUGUCAAAGGGGGACGCUGUGCCUCUGUGUUUCUGACCGCCGGAGAUGGUUCUAUGACUUCCGGGAUCACCGCUGAAGCUCCAAGCAGAGUUUCUGCCACUUGAGACCUUGCUGCCGUCGCCGGAAAUGUUUGCCGUUGACCCACCAGAGUUUCUGGCCGCCGCCGGAGCUGUUGCUGCCGCCGGUUCGAAAUCGCAAUUGCUUCGUUUCGCUAGUUCAUGUUGCUAUGGUUAUUGCGAACGUGACUGGGAGCUGAGGUUUUGGUUGCCGUCAGUUUGGGAUGAGGCGGAAAGGACUCUAUGAGACGUUUGGAUUAUGGAAUUGCGUUUUGAGGAUAUGGGCGCAGAAGUUACGAAGAAUUUAUUUAGUUAUUGUUGUGAUGUUCUGUAUUGCUUUGGAUUAUUAAUUAUUGUACCCUCGCCUUUAUCUUGAUAUAUUCUAUAAGAGGGAUAGGAAUUGUAUUGGUUAAUGUCUGUAAUAUUAUUUAUAUAUAUACGUAUGUAUAUAUAUGGAUGUACUCUUUAUGAGUUUCUGUAAGUUGUAUGGUAUGUAUGGAUGUUCGUUGUAUAGCAAAGGUGUUUUUUUUGGAAGCGGUAUUGCGGUUUAAAGUUUAAAACAGGCUCAUAUUUUAAUAUUAAAUAGUAUAAGUGUCGUCGUAAUGUCCGAGCUAUCAGAGUUGCGCAGCCGGAAGCGUGAGCUUUGGUAGUUAGGGUGUUACAUUAUGGUAUCAGAGCGGUUCUUCCUGUAGAGCCUGAGGAAUGGACUUACUAUGCUUCAAUUGCAUACUCUGAGCGCUUGUCAUGCAUUAGGUCUUGUCGAAUGACGAGAAUUAGAGCUUUAUGCACAUGACGGUCUAUUGAUUAACGCUGUUAGUCUUACAUUGCAUAAUUCUUGGUAUUAAGUUUGGCCGGCUUAAUACUAGUGACUUGUGUAUAUGAAAGCACUAAUGGGUUAUCAUAGAUGAAAUACGAGUUUCGAGUAAAGCCAAUCGCGGGUUUUGGGAACGUUAGAAACUAUUUUCUCGAGGCUAUUCAGUUGUGUGUUUUGGAUUUUGUUCGAGUCGACCUGUUCUUUCAUAGCCUAACUUGAAGUUCUUGUUUGCUACUUCCCUUGAAAAGUAGUUUGAUGUUUCUACUCUAUUCCUUUAUUCAUAUGCAUUCUUGUUUGAUCCUAAGUGCAUAUGCUUGUUUGAGGUCCUUGUUGUAUCUAUCUUUCUCUGUAUGAGUUCCUUUUUGAUUCACGUAUCCUUUGAUAUAGCAUUGAACUUGUCUUAAUGCACUGUGCCUUUUUGAGUCCGGAUUCCGAGUCCAUUCUUAUAGAAAUUGUUGAUUCAGUUUUUCUCUUACUUGAUAGUGAUUACGGCCAAUUUUGAGAUUUUAUAAAUUGCUGUUGAUUAGAUAUAUACUUUUCUAUAUAUGAGACUUUGAAAUUAUUUAUACAGUUUAACAACUAUUUCUUGCUAAUAUCUUGCUUGUAC